CUGAAGCCCGCGAGAUAGCACCCUUGCCUUUUGAGUACCGCUUGUUUCCUCGGCAGGCCCGCCUGCCACGAGGACAUCCAAACCCUUUGCAGUUGUAUCAAACGUCUGAAACCUAGUAAUCGUAACAACUUUCAACAAUGGAUCUCUUGGUUCUGGCAUCGAUGAAGAACGCAGCGAAAUGCGAUAAGUAGUGUGAAUUGCAGAAUUCAGUGAAUCAUCGAAUCUUUGAACGCACAUUGCGCCCUUUGGUAUUCCAUAGGGCAUGCCUGUUCGAGCGUCAUUUACCCCCUCAAGCUCUGCUUGGUGUUGGGCGCUUGUCCCGCCGCGCGCGUGGACUCGCCUGAAAAGCAUUGGCAGCCGGGUGCCUUGGCUUGGAGCGCAGCAGAGUCAGCGCGCCAGCCAGGCGCCGCGGCGUCCACAAGCUGUCUACCACGCUUGACCUCGGAUCAGGUAGGGAUACCCGC
rnacentral:rRNA from 1 species